rnacentral:rRNA from 1 species
GUCUACGGCCAUGCCACCUUUAACAUGCCUGAUCUCGUCUGAUCUCGGAAGCUAAGCAGGGUUGGGCCUGGUUAGUACUUGGAUGGGAGACCACCUAGGAAGACCAAGUGCUAUAGGCA